CUUAAUUUGUGUUCCGAAGAUGAACGAAGAUCUUAGGGGUGUAGAACGACAUGAGGAGAAGUCCCCGUCUACCUACAAAAAACUGAGUCAGAAUUUACAGGAGAGACUCUGACCGAGAGUCUGACCCAGUCCGGCCCGAGGCACGCUGUGUGUGUGCGUAGAGAGAGAGAGAGAGAGUAAGAGUCCUAUCAUGACUGUGUGCUGAAGCUGUCACUCCGCAGGCCUCCACAUUCAAAGGUCCGCAUAAAUGCCAAAAUGCAGAAAUAAAAUGGUCACGGUCAUUUUAUUGUGCGCGGAAUAACCUUCGCCUGCAUCCUCACAUCAAUCAGUCUAAUAAGGAGCUGAGACGGGAGCGCCGCACGCCAGUAAUAAUGGAGUGGAUUCUGGAUUUGAUGGUCAGAAGACAAGCUGAGACUGCACUGUGCUAUGGUCAGCUACAUCAUUAAACACAUGCAUGCGCUCGGCUCUUAAUGAAUCUAAUUUGACAAAAUUGCAAGAAUAAUAAUGAUGUUUUCUAGAUACAUCAUAUCCUUCCAGGUAAAGUAUCUGGCACGGUCAGUGGAGUCAGUAGGCUAUUAGAGUUGCGUCCCAAAUUAUGUACUAAACUUUGUGCACUUAUCCACUAUAGAUUUCAACAUGAUUCAUUAUUUGUGCUGUUUAUGAUUUUAAAUUAAAAUAAUAUAACAAAGAGCCUACCUGUUCACAAUAACAAGCAGCAUAAUGGAUUGUUUUUAUACAGCUAAAAUAACUUAUUUAUCCGUUCUUACAUUAAAAGUACGGUUACUUUUGACAGAGUACUUCUACUCAGCGUCCUAAACCAAAUACUUCCCUACUAUACAGUAUGUGAAAACCGUACACCAGCAGAGUGGAAUAUCCAAAUCUAUAGUAUUCAAAAAACAGUAGGCGAAAAGUACCCGGAUGAGUAACUACUUCCGGCGAGAUUCUAAAGUACGCAAGGGAGAGGAUUUAUGAAUGGCAGUGCAGCAGCACAACUGACACUGGUAGGUCAUGUGACAGUAACAACAUGGCGAAUAUAGUACGUCCUAAUUUCAUUUACCCAUACCCAUAUUCUACCCAUAUUCAUAGGGUACAACAGUGCUAAAGGCACACCCUAAGAAAAAUGUGCUUUUCAAUACUCCCAUAUUGUAUGACUGCAGAAAAUAUAUAUAGGUUUUUAUUUAACAUUGAUGGAGCAACAGAUUUUGUGUGAAAAUAAAUCAUAAAAGUGGUUUGUUUUUCUUUAAAAAUCUUAUAAAUGUAUGAGGUGGCAAGGUGGGCCUUUUCCCUACACAUAGGGUAAAAGGCUCACCAGCAUGGGGCAAAAGGCACAAAGUAUCGAUAAAAAUAAUUGUUUAUAAUAAUGCCUAAAAUUAACUUGUUCAAAACAAUCACUUUA